rnacentral:rRNA from 1 species
UACGGAGGGUGCAAGCGUUAAUCGGAAUUACUGGGCGUAAAGCGCACGCAGGUGGCUGAGUCAGUCGAUUGUGAAAGCCCUGGGCUUAACCUGGGAAUUGCAGUCGAUACUACUCAGCUAGAGUAUGGGAGAGGGUAGUGGAAUUCCCGGUGUAGCGGUGAAAUGCGUAGAUAUCGGGAGGAACAUCAGUGGCGAAGGCGGCUACCUGGCCCAAUACAGACACUCAGAUGACGACAGCGUGGGGAGCAAACAGGG